GAUGAAGAACGUAGCGAAAUGCGAUACUUGGUGUGAAUUGCAGAAUCCCGUGAACCAUCGAGUUUUUGAACGCAAGUUGCGCCCGAAGCCGUUAGGCCGAGGGCACGCCUGCCUGGGUGUCACACAUCGUUGCCCCAAUGCCUAUUGCAGUGCAAUAGGAAUUUCUAGGGCGAAUGAUGGCUUCCCGUGAGCGUUGUUGCCUCGCGGUUGGUUGAAAAUCGAGUCCUUGGUAGGGUGUGCCAUGGUAGAUGGUGGUCGAGUUAGAACGAUACCGAUCAUGUGCAUGCUCCCCAAAAUAUGGCCUCUAUGACCCACACGCGUCUUUUGACGCUCAUGACGAGACCUCAGGUCAGGCGGGGCUACCCGCUGAAUUUAAGCAUAUCAAUAAGCGGAGGA
rnacentral:misc_RNA from 1 species